AUCAAUUGAAAUUUUUUCCAUUGCUGCUACAGUUCAAAGUCGUCCAAUCAAUUUUCAAACAAGUUCAAAAAUAAGUAUUGUGAACACUGCAACAGAGAGGGACAUACAAUUGAAAAUUGCAGAACUCUUAAAUUUCAUUGCAAUUAUUGUGACAAUAAGGGUCAUAUAGAAGAUAGAUGUAAGUUUAAAAAUGGCACUUGGGCUUCAAACAAAUCAAACAACCAAAAUGACCAGCAACCCUCACAUAGGGGCCAAGGUAAUUUGCACAAUACCCUUCCAUCUGCUAAUGCUAUGGAUUCUUCCCAAACUUCACAUGGUAUUCCUACUCAAGAGAACAACAAUUCUUCACAUGGACUUUCUACAAGUCAACUUCAAUAAAUCGCUCGUGCUUUAUCUAUGAUGACACAAAAUAAUGCUACUGAUAAUGCCGAUGCUUAUGCAAAUGCAACAGGUUCUUCUCUUUUUCCAAAUGUUUCAAUUAAUUCCAUAUUUAGUAAACCAUGGAUUUUGGAUAGUGGAGUUACUGAUCAUAUAGCUUCUGAUUCCACACUUUUUACCAAAACAGAAUCCCCGUCAAUGCCAGUUGUUAACUUACCCACUGGAUCCUCAGCUUCUAUCACUUGCAAAGGCACUAUACCUUUCAACUCAGAGAUCACCUUAAAUGGUGUUUUAUGUUUUCCCUCUUUUCGCUUAAAUUUGAUGUCUGCAAGCAAAAUCACUAAUGCUUUGAAUUGUUGUGUCAUGUUGUUUUCCAUUUUCUGUACUUUACAGGACUUGGUUACGGGGAAGAUGAUUGGCUUGGGUAAACAACGUGGCGGCCUCAAUUACAUGUCUCCCUUGCAAAAGAUACCCGCCUCUCAUCAAGUUUCUCAACCCUAGAAUUUAUGGUACAUGCGCCUUGGCCAUCCGUCACCAUCUCGUUUUAAAUUAGUUUCUCCAUCAUUGCCUUCUCAUAAUGAAUCUUUUAAGAAUAAUUGUAAUGUUUGUCCUAUGGAAACAAACAAGACUUCCAUUUUCAUCAAGUUCAAUAUCAACUCAUAAUCCAUUUGAUCUUUUACAUUGUGAUAAUUGGGGUCCACAUAGGGUGCCUACACAUUCAGGGGCACGUUUCUUUCUUACUAUUGUGGAUGAUUUUACAAGGUGCACUUGGGUAUUUUUUAUGAAAAAAAGUCAGAUACCCAAGAUCUAGUAAAAUCUUUUAUUGCAUUUGCUCAUACUCAAUUUGAUGCCUCGGUCAAAACAAUAAGAGUAGAUAACGACGGAGAAAUUUUAUCCAUGAAAAACUUUUUCCAGUCGCAAGGUAUCGAAUGUCAACGAACUUGCGUUUCAACUCCUCAACAAAAUGGAGUAGUUGAACGUAAACAUUAUCAUAUCUUAGUUGUUGUGAGAGCAUUGUGUUUUCAAUCUCACUCACCUCUCACCUUUUGGGGCGAAUGUGUGUUGACCGCAGUUUAUCUUAUCAAUAGACUUCCUUCGUCAUUAUUAUCUUCCAAAUCACCUUUUAAAUUAUUGUAUAAUCAUCCACCAUCACUUAAUUAUUUGAAAGUUUUUGGUUAUCUUUGUUACGCCAUAGUUGUUCAUCCCAUUCAUAAAUUUGAUUCUCAUGCCAAACGUUGUAUUUUAGUUGGGUAUCCUACAGGUCAAAUAGGUUACAAACUUUAUGAUUUGGAUAAAAAAAAUUGUGAGCCGAGAUGUUAAAUUUUUAGAAACCACUUUUCCAGUCUCAAUAUCAUCAUAUCUUGAUUCUACAAUGCAUAGUUUUUCUUCAGACCUCACAGAAAAUUUGCAGCAUAUACCAUUAUCUUCCAUCAACAUUUCAUCUCACCAACCUCAACAUGUUGAGUGUUUUGAUACAGAUAAUUCUACUCUAUCUCCUAAACCAUUGAAUCCACUCGAACUCACUGAAGCAUCAGAUAAUUCACAUGACCAACCUACAACUUCUGCAACCUCACCUCUGGCUGAACCUACUAGUGCACUUAGUCCCUCAACCAGGUUGACAACACAUGUUUCCAACUCUAUAGAUCCUUCUAUAGCUCCGGCAAGACAAUCCCUCCGUGUUAAGCAACCUUCGACAUGGCAUAAAGACUACAUACUGUCAUCACAAGCCAAUCAUUCCAACUCGACACCAAGUUCUGAAUCAGGUACUCGUUACUCUUUCUCAUUUUAUUUCAUACUUUCGUAUGUCAUCUGCACAUUGUACCAUUUUAGCUAACAUUACAUGUCAUACCGAGCCUAGCACUUAUGAAAAAGCUGUUAUUGAUCCUCACUGGAAACAAGCCAUGAAUACAGAAUUAGAAGCACUCCAACAAAGCAAUACAUGGAGUUUGGUACCUUUUCCUGCUGGCCAUAAAGCCAUCGGAUGCAAAUGGGUCUACAAAAUCAAGUACAAAUCAGAUGGUACAAUUGAUCGAUAUAAGGCUCGUCUUGUAGCUAAAGGGUACACUCAAGUAGAGGGUAUUGAUUAUCAGGAAACCUUUUCUCUAACAUCUAAACUUACUACACUUCGUUGCCUUCUUACUGUUGUUGCCGGGUGCAAUUGGUUUACUUACCAAUUAGAUGUCCAAAAUGUGUUCCUUCAUGGUGAUUUGAAUGAAUAAGUGUAUAUGGAACCUCCACCUGGCCUUCGCCGAUAGGGGGAGAAUGUUGUAUGUCGGCUACACAAAUCUCUAUAUGGUCUUAAACAGGCAUAAAAAAAUUGGUUUCUUACAUUUUCAGAAACUUUUCAAAAUGCUGGUUAUGAACAAUCAAAAGCUGAUUAUUCUCUUUUCUUCAAGGCUCAAGGUACUUCGUUUACUGCAAUCCAGGUCUAUGUUGAUGAUAUACUUCUCACAGGAAAUGAUCUUCAUGAAAUCGAGCGUCUCAAAAGCUUUCUUCUCAAACGCUUUCACAUCAAAGAUCUUGGAAAUUUGAAAUAUUUUCUAGGUAUUGAAUUUUCUCGAUCACAUAAAGGUAUUUUCAUGUCUCAAAGAAAAUAUGCAUUAGAUAUUUUACAAGAUUCUGGUCUACUAGGAGCACUCCCAGACAAGUUUCCAAUGGAACAAAAUCUGAAACUUACUCCCACUGAUGGAGAAUUAUUGAAUGAUCCAACCAAGUAUAGAAGAUUAGUUGGUAGAUUGAUUUAUCUUACUGUUACGAGACCUGACAUAGUGUACUCUGUUCGUAUAUUAAGUCAAUACAUGCAUGAGCCUCAAAAGCUUUACUGGGAUGCUGCUAUACGGAUCCUCAAAUACAUCAAGAGUACUCCAGGACAAGGUUUAUUAUUCUCUUCCUACAAUAAUCUCACUUUAAAGGCCUUUUGUGAUUCAGAUUGGGGAGGUUGUCAUGCCACAAGAAGAUCAGUUACAGGAUAUUGCAUUUUUCUUGGUAAUUCCCUUACCUAAUGGAAAUCCAAGAAACAAUCAAAUGUUUUAAGAUCGUCCGCCGAAGCAGAGUAUCGAGGAAUGACUAACAUAUGCUUGGAGCUUACUUGGUUAAGUUACAUUCUGCAAGAUCUAAAAGUCCCACAAGCAGCUCCUACACAACUAUUCUAUGACAAUCAAGCUGCUUUGCAUAUUGCAGCGAAUCCCGUCUUCCAUGAACGCACUAAACAUAUUGAAAUAGAUUGUCACAUAGUUCGCGAAAAACUGCAAGCCGGAAUGAUUAGUCCAUCUUAUGUAUCAACACAUUUCCAGUUGGCAGAUGUCUUUACAAUGGCCUUGGGAAAGGAUCAAUUUGUGACACUACACAACAAGUUGGGACUUCAUGAUAUUCACUCUCCAACUUGAGGGGGAGUGUUAAGAAAUAUAGUGUGUUAAUGUAGUAUAUUCACUUUCCUUAUUAAUUGUAAAUCAAAUCCCACAGAAUGUGGAUCACGAUUAUGGAAGCUUAAAAUUAGGCUUAGAUUGAUUCUUAGCAUCUGUAUAUAUAUGCAGCUAAUUCUGUAAAUGAAAAUACAUAUCUUCAACUAAUUCUCUUGUUUCACAAAAGCUUCUUUGUCUCAUUUUUAACUAUAAUAUUUAUUCCGUCUCUUUCAAAAAUAGAAAUAACAAAAGCGGUAAUCUAACACACGUGGAUGUCAAUAUAGGCUUGGAAUACUAAUACUCGUGUCUUUGUAAAGUUUAAACUUUUUAAGGGAUUUUUACUAAGCUAUACUAUAUUAGAAACUUAUUUACCAAUAUUCUCUAUGUUUUGCAGUUUUUAACAAGUAUCUAGGUUUUUCUUACAAAUUGUGUAGAUUUCUCCUUAAAGGCUCUUAUCUCAUUAUUAGUGCCUUUAAUUAAGAGAUUCAAUUAUAUCCUUUCCCUUUUUUUUCCCUUUCCUCUUCUCUCUCCUUUUUUUACAUCAAAAUUCCUUAAUCUACACCCGGAAAUUCCAUUUUCUCUCUUCCCAUCAUUGGCGACAGCUUUAUAUUAUUAAAUCAUCAAUUGCAUCAUUGUUUUGUUGGGAGACCGGACAACACUGAAAAUGAAAAAAUAUUCAAGGAUUGUAUGAUAACUGUAUCAUAAUUACAUUUGAAUUGUAUCAAAUAUAUCAAUGCGUAAAACAUAAUUGUAUCAUACUUGUAUCACAAUUGUAUCUAACUUGUAGAUGGUACAUUAAUAUCCAAACUAAUACCUGAUACAAUACUAAUAAGUUAAUAUAUAAUUAUCAUAUAUUUGUGAUGUUUACUGUGAAAUUUGUCAUGAACUCACAACUACUCAUUAUUCAGAUACAAAUUUGAUACAAUCACGAAAGUAUUCAAACACAAUUCCGAUAUAAUUAUGAUACAACUUUAAACCGUUCUAAACUUAAACUAAUACAAUAUCGUAUUAUAUUUGUAUUAGCAUUGUAUCAUAUAUUGUUUUAGGUACAAAUUGCGAUACAAUUCUAAAUUAUGAUACAACUUUGAUCUUCAUCUUUUUCAAGUUUCAAUUUAAAACAUCCACCUCGAACCAACUCUAAACUUAAAAUAUGAUACAAUAUUAUAUUUUAAUAGUAUUAGUAUCGUAUCAGAAUUGUCCUAGGUAUUGACGUAACAAAUACAACUCAGAUACAAUUAUGAUACAUUUAUCAUACAAUCGUAAUACAAUUCCGAAACUUCUUCUUCCUCGAGUUUCAAUCAGAAAUUCAACCUAAAACCAACUUUAGAUUUAACAAAUCUCACUUAAAAUUGAGAUAUAAACUCUAAAGGAUAUUCUCAAUUGUUUUCUAGAACACCCAAUCCAAAAAAAAUCAUAAAUUCAUAAAAUCUGAAUAUCUAAUUCAAAGUUUCGAAGUUUUUUAAUAGUAUGUCAAUGGAAAAUCCCUCCACCUACAAUUUCGAAGAUAAUGUUGAUGGAUUUGUCAACAGUUGAAGCUUUUUAAUGGUUGUUGGUGGAAUUGAUUCAGAGAAAUAUAAGAUGCAAUAAUUUUAAAGAGGUAAUAGUUUGAUUUGUAUGAGGGAGAUAGAGAUAUUGGUUGAUUUGUAUGAAAGAGAGGUGAUGGUUUUGGGUAUCAGUGAGUUUCUUACGAUGGUAAUUACAAAGACAGAUGAUGUUUUGUAAUCUUUUGAAAAAUUUGAAAGGAAGAGUAUCAUAAAUAUAGAGGGAUUAUGUGUAACUGAUAACCAGUAUUUAAGGUAUGUUUCAUUUCCUCCUUUUUAUGGUUUUGUAUAAAACUAGUAAAUAUAUGUAUAUAAAAUAAUUAAUAAGGAACCUAAAUAAAGGUAGUAGAUUUAUCUAUGACAGCAUGAUGAAUCUUGCGCUCGCUAUCAGAUUAAAUGUGCACAAGGUUCAAAAUCUAGAAACCAUGACAGAGCAUUAGCAUAACAGUCAAGAUAUAAAAUCAGAAGCAGUUAACCUGUUACCUAAUCAGGAACACGUUUACUGAGUCGAUGCAUUUUGUCUUCACCGUAAAGAUGCGCACUUAUUGGUUGAGUAGAAGAGAAGGACAUGAACCUCUUGAGUUCCAGCUCUCACCAUCACUCUAUGCAUUUGGGAUUCAUGUGUGGUAGGAUACUGAUCACCAAAGACCAAAACUAACCAACCCACCAGCUUUAAUUUUGGCUGCAUCUUCCUUAUUCAAGAAGUGCAAAAAAGACUUCAGGGAUGCAGCAAAACCUCAUUCACAUACUAAUUGGGCCUAGAUCAUGCUCAUCACUCUGGACGCAUGAGAGUGAUGCAGUUCAUCCAACUACAAGAACAAGAUUGCAAUUAAUAGUUUGGCUCAUUAAAAUAUACUGAACAAGGAUACUAAACAGAGAUGAGAUAUUGAGACGUAGAGAGGGUGCACCUAGCAUAUUGAAGGAUGUCUCCUUAAGGGAAUAUGAACUAAAGCAACAAUGACUAAUGCUC
rnacentral:lncRNA from 1 species